AUUGAACGCUGGCGGCAUGCUUUACACAUGCAAGUCGAACGGUAACAGGCCGCAAGGUGCUGACGAGUGGCGAACGGGUGAGUAAUGCAUCGGAACGUGCCCAGUCGUGGGGGAUAACGCAGCGAAAGCUGUGCUAAUACCGCAUACGAUCUAUGGAUGAAAGCGGGGGACCGUAAGGCCUCGCGCGAUUGGAGCGGCCGAUGUCAGAUUAGGUAGUUGGUGGGGUAAAGGCUCACCAAGCCUGCGAUCUGUAGCUGGUCUGAGAGGACGACCAGCCACACUGGAACUGAGACACGGUCCAGACUCCUACGGGAGGCAGCAGUGGGGAAUUUUGGACAAUGGGCGCAAGCCUGAUCCAGCAAUGCCGCGUGCAGGAUGAAGGCCUUCGGGUUGUAAACUGCUUUUGUACGGAACGAAACGGCUCUGUCUAAUACAUGGGGCUAAUGACGGUACCGUAAGAAUAAGCACCGGCUAACUACGUGCCAGCCGCCGCGGUAAGAC
rnacentral:rRNA from 1 species